GUGCCCUUCUUUGACUUGCCGACGAUCUCGCGAUCUCACGGCGGUAACAGGGGUUCGAGUCCCCUAGGGGACGCCA
rnacentral:tRNA from 1 species